UGGCGGAAUGCUUAACACAUGCAAGUCGAACGAGUACUUUUUACGAGUGGCGAACGGGUGCGUAACGCGUGGGAACCUGCCUUUAGGUAAAGAAUAACUAUAGGAAACUGUAGCUAAUACUUUAUAUACCCUACGGGGGAAAGAUUUAUCGCCUUUAGAGGGGCGCGCGUCAGAUUAGCUUGUUGGUAAGGUAAUAGCUUACCAAGGCAAUGAUCUGUAGCUGGUUUGAGAGGACGAUCAGCCACAUUGGGACUGAGACACGGCCCAGACUCCUACGGGAGGCAGCAGUGGGGAAUCUUGGACAAUGGGGGAAACCCUGAUCCAGCAAUUCCGCGUGAAUGAUGAAGGCCUUAGGGUUGUAAAGUUCUUUUAGUAAGGAAGAUGAUGACGGUACUUACAGAAAAAGCUCCGGCUAACUCCGUGCCAGCAGCCGCGGUAAUACGGGGGGGGCAAGCGUUGUUCGGAAUUACUGGGGUAAAGAGCGAGCAGGUGGUUCAUUAAGUCAAUUGUGAAAGCUCAAGGCUUAACCUUGAAAUUGCUUUUGAUACUGAUGGACUAGAGUUUGGGAGAGGAUAGUGGAAUUCUAAGUGUAGAAGUGAAAUUCGUAGAUAUUUAGAGGAACACCAACAGCGAAGGCAGCUAUCUGGCCCUUUACUGACACUCAGAAGCGAAAGCUUGGGUAGCAAACAGGAUUAGAUACCCUGGUAGUCCAUGCUGUAAACGAUGAGUGCUAGAUGUUAGAAGUUUACUUCUAGUAUCGAAGCUAACGCGUUAAGCACUCCGCCUGGGGAGUACGGCCGCAAGGCUAAAACUCAAAUGAAUUGACGGGGACCCGCACAAGCAGUGGAGCAUGUGGUUUAAUUCGACGCUACGCGAAGAACCUUACCAGCUCUUGACAUGCUAGGUUAUAGAUUUAAGAGAUUAAAUUUUUCAGUUCGGCUGGGCUUAGUACAGGUGCUGCAUGGCUGUCGUCAGCUCGUGUCGUGAGAUGUUCGGUUAAGUCCGGCAACGAGCGCAACCCUUAUCUUCAGUUACUAACAGGUUAUGCUGAGGACUUUGGAGAAACUGCCGCUGGAAAAGCGGAGGAAGGCGAGGAUGACGUCAAGUCCUCAUGGCCCUUAUGGGCUGGGCUACACACGUGCUACAAUGGUAAUUACAAUGAGUCGCAAAGGGGCAACCUGGAGCUAAUCUCAAAAAAUUAUCUAAGUUCGGAUUGUUCUCUGCAACUCGAGAGCAUAAAGUUGGAAUUGCUAGUAAUCGUGGAUCAGCAUGCCACGGUGAAUACGUUCCCGGGUCUUGUACACACCGCCCGUCACACCAUGGGAGUUGGUCUUACCUGAAGCCAAUUUUAAUAUUGUCCA
rnacentral:rRNA from 1 species